GAUGAACGCUGGCGGCGUGCUUCAUACAUGCAAGUCGAACGAGAAUCUGUAGCUUGCUACAGAGGAAAGUGGCGGACGGGUGAGUAAUACAUAGGGAAUCUGCCCUUAGGUGGGGGACAACAGUUGGAAACAGCUGCUAAUACCGCAUAAUGCAACGGAAUCGCAUGACUCUGUUGCCAAAGAUUUAUCGCUCUGAGAUGGCCUCGCGUCUGAUUAGCUAGUUGGUGGGGUAACGGCUCACCAAGGCGACGAUCAGUAGCCGACCUGAGAGGGUGACCGGCCACAUUGGGACUGAGACACGGCCCAA
rnacentral:rRNA from 1 species